CACUAUCACUGAUCUAACUAACC
rnacentral:siRNA from 1 species